rnacentral:misc_RNA from 1 species
UUUAUCUGGAAUGCGAAGUAAAUCUUUUUUUAGGCAGCAAAAAGAGACGGGGCGCUUGGUGUAAGUCCUGGCAGAAAAAGAUUGAAUUACACAUUCAUAUAGAGCGGAUAGUCAGGUUGAGAGGCUAACACACAUGUGUUGGCAAUCAGGGUGGUAACGCGGAGUAAAGCUUCGUCCCUAUA